rnacentral:rRNA from 1 species
AGAGUUUGAUCCUGGCUCAGGACGAACGCUGGCGGCGUGCCUAAUACAUGCAAGUCGAGCGAAUGGAUGGGAGCUUGCUCCCUGACAUUAGCGGCGGACGGGUGAGUAACACGUGGGCAACCUGCCUGUAAGACUGGGAUAACUUCGGGAAACCGGAGCUAAUACCGGAUACGUUCUUUUCUCGCAUGAGAGAAGAUGGAAAGACGGUCUCGGCUGUCACUUACAGAUGGGCCCGCGGCGCAUUAGCUAGUUGGUGAGGUAACGGCUCACCAAGGCCACGAUGCGUAGCCGACCUGAGAGGGUGAUCGGCCACACUGGGACUGAGACACGGCCCAGACUCCUACGGGAGGCAGCAGUAGGGAAGCUUCCGCAAUGGACGAAAGUCUGACGGAGCAACGCCGCGUGAACGAUGAAGGCCUUCGGGUCGUAAAGUUCUGUUGUUAGGGAAGAACAAGUACCAGAGUAACUGCUGGUACCUUGACGGUACCUAACCAGAAAGCCACGGCUAACUACGUGCCAGCAGCCGCGGUAAUACGUAGGUGGCAAGCGUUGUCCGGAAUUAUUGGGCGUAAAGCGCGCGCAGGCGGUUUCUUAAGUCUGAUGUGAAAGCCCACGGCUCAACCGUGGAGGGUCAUUGGAAACUGGGGAACUUGAGUGCAGAAGAGGAGAGCGGAAUUCCACGUGUAGCGGUGAAAUGCGUAGAGAUGUGGAGGAACACCAGUGGCGAAGGCGGCUCUCUGGUCUGUAACUGACGCUGAGGCGCGAAAGCGCGGGGAGCAAACAGGAUUAGAUACCCUGGUAGUCCACGCCGUAAACGAUGAGUGCUAAGUGUUAGAGGGUUUCCGCCCUUUAGUGCUGCAGCAAACGCAUUAAGCACUCCGCCUGGGGAGUACGGUCGCAAGACUGAAACUUAAAGGAAUUGACGG